UCCGCGCACUGCAGCCCGCAACAGUUGUCGGCCUCCAGGCGCCCAGUUUAUUGCGCAGCAGCCUCACGAAAAAAAAGUCACAGUGCAAGACAAUUCUCUCUUUCGUCUCUCAUUCUCUUGGAGUGAAUCUUCAGCAAGUGUUUGCGUCCUCGCUGACCCAAGCGACCUCCGCCAGGCGGGUCCUUGCAGGUGGAAAAGACCACAGUACUUGGGGUUUCUUAUCCUGCGAUUACAACAAAUUAGAUGAACGUCAAUGGCAAGACACACACUAUCUCAAGAGCAUUAGUUUUCCUCUGGAGUAGAAAACUUACCUUGGUCGUCUGCUCAAGAAAAUGAACCCUUGAAGAGAUACAGCGAGGAUGUGGUAGGGACCUCUGUCACAGGAUCUGACCACACCACCUUCUCAUAGGUACUUCUUCAGCUUUGUGCUUGUGAACUGAGAAGACAUCUGUCUGACAGACUAGCUUAGGCCAAGCCACUCAAGCUACAAUUGGCAAAGCCUAUGUGACAUUCCGAUUGACAAAGUAAG